rnacentral:rRNA from 1 species
UCCUAUGGCCAUACCACCCUGGAUGUGCCCAAUUUUGUCUGGUUUUUGAAGCACUGGGCCUGUUUAGUACUUGGAUAAGACACCACCUGGGAAUACCAAGUGUUGUAGGUC